GCCACUGGACGUAUCCACUCGACAGCCAGAAACCUUCCAUCUCAAGCGAAAGUUCCCACUCUGCAGGAGGGUGUCUCUAUUCAUGCAAUAAGUUUUCAAGCUCUUCGUCACCUUCCUUCGAUGAUCUUUUUCCUUAAUUUUUGAUCUUAUUCCUCUAAUUUCUACCUUUCCCCAUCUUCGCACAUCGUCUUACAGAAAAUGCAGCAAUCACAGCCCAUUAGUGUGUGGCUCCAUAUGCUGUGGUUUCUGCAUGUACAUGACCAAAUCAGCACUCCAUUUCCCACACCGUUGUUCAAGUCUCUUCAUUCGCCACAGAGAGAGAAACCAUUGAUGAUGCAGUUGGCUGUUGUAGCUUGUCUCUCUUUGGCUGCAAAAUUGGAAGAAACACGUCCCACUUCUUCUUGACCUACAGGUGGAGGAGGCCCAGUAUGUGGUUGAGGCCAAGACCAUUCAGAGAAUGGAGCUCCUGGUUCUACCAGCAGUAGAGUGGAAAAUGCACCAUGUAACACUUAUCUCCUUCAUUAAUCAUGGCUGAGGAUACAUCAACAUUGGAAGCUCUUUAGAAGAUGCGAAUGACUACUCCUUUCUUUGAACACAGGUGCUCUUGGAAUGGUAGUGAGCAGUGGAAACUGAUCUACAAGGAGGCGCUAGUUAUUAAUAUGAGGUACAUUCAUUCAUUUGCCUUUCAG